ACUUAUUGUUAAUAACUAUCUCACAAUUCAACCAAUUUAUAUAUCAAAUAAUUACUUGCGUUUCGGAAUUUCAGGUUACUACUUCAAGACUUUAUCUAUUGAUAUCACCCAAACGCCUCUUUACAUUUAUCAUAAUACCUAUUUUUUUUUCAACCAAUUAACAAGUAACCACUCAGCUUGUGUUCUCUCCCUCCUACUCUCCAAUUAAGGAGAAAGGAACGGUCAUCAACAGCAACCAGCAGCUACAAUAAAGCAGCACUGGGAGCCCACUUCACGCUCAGAAGAAAACACUCAAGCUCUUCCUCGUGGAUACUGAGUUUAGACACUUUAGAGCACAUUUCACCAGUUACAAACUAUAGAA